rnacentral:lncRNA from 1 species
UUGAAGGAAAAUAAAAACAAAUAUUUUGACAAAUGCAAAUGGCGGAAAUCGGAAACGAAGCUGUAUAUAUGGAAAUAUUUCAGCAUUUCUAUGGCGAAACUGAUGACGAGGAUUAGUUAAAAGGUUUCUUGUUAUCUCAAUGUGUUUAUUACAUUCAAUUCGUGUGGGAAAUAUGAUUUGAUCGAUCAUUACUAGACCUAGAAAAAGGGGGG